rnacentral:rRNA from 1 species
GGGGAUUCCCAAGACCUCCACGUUUUUCGAAGCGGCCGAAGUUCUGAUUAACUUAUUUGGUGGGGUAAAGGGCUUCCCAAGGGGAACGAUCCAGUAGCGGGUUUUGGAAGGGAUGAUCCCGCCAACAUGGGGAUUGAGACACGGCCCCAGAUUCCUUACGGGAGGCAGGCAGUGGGGAAUUUUGGCCAAUGGGGGCAACCCUGAUCCAGCCAUUCCGCGUGAGUGAAGAAGGCCUUCGGGGUUGUAAAGCUCUUUCAGCUGGAACGAAACGGUACGCUCUAACAUAGCGUGCUAAUGACGGUACCAGCAGAAGAAGCACCGGCUAACUACGUGCCAGCAGCCGCGGUAAUACGUAGGGUGCGAGCGUUAAUCGGAAUUACUGGGCGUAAAGCGUGCGCAGGCGGAUUGUUAAGCAAGAUGUGAAAUCCCCGGGCUUAACCUGGGAAUGGCAUUUUGAACUGGCAGUCUAGAGUGCGUCAGAGGGGGGUGGAAUUCCACGUGUAGCAGUGAAAUGCGUAGAUAUGUGGAGGAACACCAAUGGCGAAGGCAGCCCCCUGGGAUGACACUGACGCUCAUGUACGAAAGCGUGGGUAGCAAACAGGAUUAGAUACCCUGGUAGUCCACGCCCUAAACGAUGUCAACUGGUUGUUGGGGGAGUGAAAUCCCUUAGUAACGAAGCUAACGCGUGAAGUUGACCGCCUGGGGAGUACGGUCGCAAGAUUAAAACUCAAAGGAAUUGACGGGGACCCGCACAAGCGGUGGAUGAUGUGGAUUAAUUCGAUGCAACGCGAAAAACCUUACCUACCCUUGACAUGUCCGGAAUCCUGCAGAGAUGCGGGAGUGCCCGAAAGGGAAUCGGAACACAGGUGCUGCAUGGCUGUCGUCAGCUCGUGUCGUGAGAUGUUGGGUUAAGUCCCGCAACGAGCGCAACCCUUAUCAUUAGUUGCUACGCAAGGGCACUCUAAUGAGACUGCCGGUGACAAACCGGAGGAAGGUGGGGAUGACGUCAAGUCCUCAUGGCCCUUAUGGGUAGGGCUUCACACGUCAUACAGUGGUCGGUACAGAGGGUUGCCAGGCCGCGAGGUGGAGCCAAUCCCAGAAAGCCGAUCGUAGUCCGGAUUGUUCUCUGCAACUCGAGAGCAUGAAGUCGGAAUCGCUAGUAAUCGCGGAUCAGCAUGUCGCGGUGAAUACGUUCCCGGGUCUUGUACACACCGCCCGUCACACCAUGGGAGUGGAAUCUGCCAGAAGUAGGUAGCCUAACCGCAAGGAGGGCGCUUACCACGGUGGGUUUCAUGACUGGGGUGAAGUCUAGGCGGAUAUACAAUUCACACAGAAAACAAGCUUGCAUG